rnacentral:rRNA from 1 species
AUGAAGUCAUCUAUCAGUGAUGCUCCUGUGUCUGCUAUUGCAACUUAUGGCACUGAGCGCGUGACCAACCACCUCCGCAUAGCCGCGCUAAUGCUAUGCCGGCGCUGUCCACCCGAGCGCCGCGGCGAACAAGUACACCCGGCCGGCCUUAUCCAGCCACCGUCUCUCUUAACGCAGGAGGAGCAAGGGCCGCACCCGACGGUGUGGUCAGAGCCGACAGAGCGGCCGCCGGGGCGCACCAAGUUCAAGGAGACGCGCCACCCGCUGCGCGUGCACGGGACGAUGGUGUCAAGGCUCUGGCACGGCACCUUCGCCACCGCUGAGACGGCGGCGCGCGCGCUCGCGCUCUCCGGCCGCCACGCCUGCCUCAGCUUUAACUACUCCGCCUGUCGGAUGCUGCCCGUUCUCGCGGCCGGGUCGUUCGGCUUCGGCAUUGCACAUGUGAUAAAGGACGCCGUGGCCAUCGCCGCGUGGCGGUCCAGCGCAAGCAACCGCUUGUGUCUCCGACGGAGAUAG